GGCGGCAGGCCUAACACAUGCAAGUCGAGCGCCCGUAGCAAUACGGGAGCGGCAGACGGGAGAGUAACACGUGGGAACGUACCUUUCAGUUCGGAACAACCCAGGGAAACUUGGGCUAAUACCGAAUACGCCCGUAAGGGGAAAGAUUUAUCGCUGAAAGAUCGGCCCGCGUCUGAUUAGCUAGUUGGUGAGGUAACGGCUCACCAAGGCGACGAUCAGUAGCUGGUCUGAGAGGAUGAUCAGCCUCACUGGGACUGAGACACGGCCCAGACUCCUACGGGAGGCAGCAGUGGGGAAUAUUGGACAAUGGGCGCAAGCCUGAUCCAGCCAUGCCGCGUGGAUGAUGAAGGCCCUAGGGUUGUAAAGUCCUUUCGGCGGGGAAGAUAAUGACGGUACCCGCAGAAGAAGCCCCGGCUAACUUCGUGCCAGCAGCCGCGGUAAUACGAAGGGGGCUAGCGUUGCUCGGAAUCACUGGGCGUAAAGCGCACGUAGGCGGACUCUUAAGUCGGUGGUGAAAUCCUGGAGCUCAACUCCAGAACUGCCUUCGAUACUGGGAGUCUUGAGUCCGGGAGAAGUGAGUGGAACUGCGA
rnacentral:rRNA from 1 species